GUUAGGAAUAUUGGACAAUGGGCGAAAGCCUGAUCCAGCCAUGCCGCGUGAACGAUGAAGGCCUUCGGGUUGUAAAGUUCUUUAGCCGAUGAUUAUAAUGAUUGUAGUCGGAAAAUAAGCCCCGGCUAACUUCGUGCCAGCAGCCGCGGUAAUACGAAGGGGGCGAGCGUUAUUCGGAAUCACUGGGCGUAAAGCGUGCGUAGGCGGUUUUGUAAGUUAGGAGUGAAAGCCCAGGGCUCAACCUUGGAAUUGCUCUUAAAACUGCAAGGCUCGAAUCUCGGAGAGGAUAGCGGAAUUUCCAGUGUAGCAGUGAAAUGCGUAGAUAUUGGAAGGAACACCAGUGGCGUAAGCGGCUAUCUGGACGAGUAUUGACGCUGAGGCACGAAAGCGUGGGGAUCAAACAGGGUUAGAAACCCUUGUAGUCC
rnacentral:rRNA from 1 species